AGAGUUUGAUCCUGGCUCAGGAUGAACGCUGGCGGCGUGCCUAACACAUGCAAGUCGAACGAGAAGCUAACUUCUGAUUCCUUCGGGAUGAGGAGGUCAGCAGAAAGUGGCGAACGGGUGAGUAACGCGUGGGUAAUCUACCCUAAAGUGGGGGAUAACCCUCCGAAAGGAGGGCUAAUACCGCAUAAGGUCUUCACUUCUUAAGAAGUAAAGAUUAAAGAUGGCCUCUAUUUAUAUGCUAUCGCUUCAGGAUGAGCCCGCGUCCUAUUAGUUAGUUGGUGGGGUAAUGGCCUACCAAGGCGACGAUCAGUAGCUGGUCUGAGAGGAUGUCCAGCCAGAUGAGGACUGAGACACGGCCCAGACUCCUACGGGAGGCAGC
rnacentral:rRNA from 1 species